rnacentral:lncRNA from 1 species
UGCGUAUUAAGAUGAAAUCUAUCAAUCUUGAUAGAGAAGAGUAGUCUUAUAAAAUUUGAGAGGCUAAGUUUGAGAGUCUGUGACCAUAGCAGUGUGAUUGAUGGAAAAGAGUUUCCAUAAGAAUCACAAUUGGACUUGAGCUGAUCAAAUCUAUCAUAUGACUGAUGAUGAGGUUUGAUGAUUUACCCAUGACCUACCAUCU